UCUAUAACACGGGGUUUCAGAAUUAUCUUUCUCAUCUCUCCCAGAGUCUUUGUUUUCUCCACAGUUUCGUUUAUCCUCUCUCUCAAUCUCUUUGAUUUAUCCGUUAGAACCAAUGUCCACAUAGAAUCUUACAUCUCUCUCACUCUUUCUGAGUUCUCCCACGAUACCUUAGCGAUGAUACCAGCUUCCAUCAAUCGCAAUCAUCUAUUAAAAUCGAUCGGAAUCAUUGCUCCAAAACAAUCUCAUACUCGCCGGACUCUCACCGUAUUCGAUUGUCUCCUAUACGAUUUACGUGAUGAUGAUGGCUGCUGGAUAUCAUUUUUUGGAACCACAAAUGAACUGAACAGUCGCAAACCUCCACAAAAGCACCACCACAAAUUAUAUGUAUACGGGAAUCAGAGGAGCAGUGUAUGUGAGCUUCUUCGGACAGUAGAUAGGAGCUGUGGCAGGACGCGAAAGUAGUGCUUAGUCUUGGUGAUUCUUUACGAGCAAAUGCUAUUAACAUAGCUAUGAUUUACUGUUAGACUGUUAACAUAUUUAAUAGCCUAAAAAUCAAAUGUUAGAUUGCUAACAAUUUUAAUAGCAUAUAAUCAUUUAUCUGUU